rnacentral:tRNA from 1 species
CAGAAAAGCAAUUAGGCAUUGGGUUUUACCUGCGCAGGUUCGAAUCCUGUCUGUGACG